rnacentral:RNase_P_RNA from 1 species
AUUUUUAGACAAACGCUGCAUAAAAUAUUAUGUAGAGGAAAGUCCAUGCUCGCACUGACCUGAGAUGGCAGUAGUGUUCGUGUAUAGGGAAAAAAUAACCUAUAGUAGUAUAUACUAACGGCUUUUCAAAACCUAAGUCCCAUGGAUAUGGUAGAGAAAUAUAAAAGUGCCAUAGUGACGAUGCUUGAUUGAAAAAUCGAGAGUGGAACGCGGUAAACCCCACGAGCGAGAAACCCAAAUUUUGGUAGGGGAACUCUUUUGAAGGAAUUGAACUGAUAAAGGGAUUGAGUAAUCAAUAGAUAAAUGUUUGUCACCAUUUAUGGUACAGAACAUGGCUUAUUAAG